GACGAACGCUGGCGGCGUGCUUAACACAUGCAAGUCGAGCGGUAAGGCCCUUUUGGGGGUACACGAGCGGCGAACGGGUGAGUAACACGUGGGUGACCUGCCCUCAGCUCUGGGAUAAGCCUGGGAAACUGGGUCUAAUACUGGAUAUGACCUUUUCCUCGCAUGGGGUUGGGUGGAAAGUUUUUCGGCGUGGGGAUGGGCCCGCGGCCUAUCAGCUUGUUGGUGGGGUGAUGGCCUACCAAGGCGACGACGGGUAGCCGGCCUGAGAGGGCGACCGGCCACACUGGGACUGAGACACGGCCCAGACUCCUACGGGAGGCAGCAGCGGGGAAUAUUGCGCAAUGGGCGGAAGCCUGACGCAGCGACGCCGCGU
rnacentral:rRNA from 1 species